GUGCCAGCAGCCGCGGUAAUACGUAGGGUGCGAGCGUUGUCCGGAAUUAUUGGGCGUAAAGGGCUCGUAGGCGGUUUGUCGCGUCGGGAGUGAAAACACUGGGCUUAACUCAGUGCUUGCUUCCGAUACGGGCAGACUAGAGGUAUUCAGGGGAGAACGGAAUUCCUGGUGUAGCGGUGAAAUGCGCAGAUAUCAGGAGGAACACCGGUGGCGAAGGCGGUUCUCUGGGAAUUACCUGACGCUGAGGAGCGAAAGUGUGGGGAGCGAACAGGAUUAGAUACCCUGGUAGUCCACACCGUAAACGUUGGGCGCUAGGUGUGGGGUCCAUUCCACGGAUUCCGUGCCGCAGCUAACGCAUUAAGCGCCCCGCCUGGGGAGUACGGCCGCAAGGCUAAAACUCAAAGGAAUUGACGG
rnacentral:rRNA from 1 species